AGAGAAAUUAAUCGUCUUUUUUUGAUUUUUAACUCACUGAUAAUUCAGUUUUUAAAUUUGACUCACUUAUAAUUCAUUUCAUAAUCAUCUUGUGUGGCGUAAGACUCGCUGCCGCCUAAGCUCGAAGCUCCACCAUCGUUUGACGCCUGUGGACUCCUCCCCCAAACUCCUCACUUUUUUCCCUUUCCGACCCAGAGCGUCUCCUCUCCAUUCUCCUUCCUGGGCUGCAUAUUAUCGAACUGGCUGGAUCAAGGUUUAUCUGGCUCCAACAGGAUAUUCGCAAAGACACAGCAUCAGAAAGAACAUGAAGUUUCCUGGCUUUUUUGUUCCUAACGUGCACGGAGAACGAAAGACGAUAUUCAUCUUACCAAGCUGCAUUCCUAGAGCUGCAAUCUCUCUUCUUGUCUUGAGCUUAAUCUCUUCUUCUGACAACUGUUUC